GAUCAUGGCUCAGGAUGAACGCUAGCUACAGGCUUAACACAUGCAAGUCGAGGGGCAGCAUUGGAGUAGCAAUACUUCAGAUGGCGACCGGCGCACGGGUGAGUAACACGUAUCCAACCUGCCGCUUACUCGGGGAUAGCCUUUCGAAAGAAAGAUUAAUACCCGAUGGUAUAAAGAGUUCGCAUGUUCUCUUUAUUAAAGAAUUUCGGUAAGCGAUGGGGAUGCGUUCCAUUAGAUUGUUGGCGGGUAACGGCCCACCAAGUCUACGAUGGAUAGGGGUUCUGAGAGGAAGGUCCCCCACAUUGGAACUGAGACACGGUCCAAACUCCUACGGGAGGCAGCAGUGAGGAAUAUUGGUCAAUGGACGAGAGUCUGAACCAGCCAAGUAGCGUGAAGGAUGACUGCCCUAUGGGUUGUAAACUUCUUUUAUAAGGGAAUAAAGUGAGGGACGUGUCCCUUUUUGUAUGUACCUUAUGAAUAAGGAUCGGCUAACUCCGUGCCAGCAGCUGC
rnacentral:rRNA from 1 species